AAGUUCGGACCUGUAAAGGGCGCCUCGUUUAAGGGGUUAAAAACCGAGUGACUAGGGCU
rnacentral:rRNA from 1 species